rnacentral:rRNA from 1 species
UACGUAGGGUCCGAGCGUUAAUCGGAAUUACUGGGCGUAAAGCGUGCGCAGGCGGUUUUGUAAGCCAGAUGUGAAAUCCCCGGGCUUAACCUGGGAACUGCAUUUGGGACUGCAAGGCUCGAGUACGGCAGAGGGAGGUGGAAUUCCACGUGUAGCAGUGAAAUGCGUAGAUAUCAUGGGGAACACCGAAAGCGAAGGCAGCAAACUGGUCCACUCCUGACGCUGAAGCACGAAAGCGUGGGUCGCGAAUGGG